AGAGUUUGAUCCUGGCUCAGAUUGAACGCUGGCGGCAGGCCUAACACAUGCAAGUCGAGCGGAAACGGCAGCAUUGAAGCUUCGGUGGAUUUGCUGGACGUCGAGCGGCGGACGGGUGAGUAGCGGCUGGGAACCUGCCCUGACGCGGGGGAUAACCGUUGGAAACGACGGCUAAUACCGCAUAAUGUCUUAGUUCAUUACGAGCUGGGACCAAAGGUGGCCUCUACAUGUAAGCUAUCGCGUUGGGAUGGGCCCAGUUAGGAUUAGCUAGUUGGUAAGGUAAUGGCUUACCAAGGCAACGAUCCUUAGCUGGUUUGAGAGGAUGAUCAGCCACACUGGGACUGAGGCACGGCCCAGACUCCUACGGGAGGCAGCAGUGGGGAAUAUUGCACAAUGGGGGAGACCCUGAUGCAGCCAUGCCGCGUGUGUGAAGAAGGCCUUCGGGUUGUAAAGCACUUUCAGCAGUGAGGAAGGUCGUGUACUUAAUACGUGCACGGCUUGACGUUAGCUGCAGAAGAAGCACCGGCUAACUCCGUGCCAGCAGCCGCGGUAAUACGGAGGGUGCGAGCGUUAAUCGGAAUUACUGGGCGUAAAGCGCAUGCAGGCGGUUUGUUAAGUCAGAUGUGAAAGCCCGGGGCUCAACCUCGGAACCGCAUUUGAAACUGGCAGGCUAGAGUCUUGUAGAGGGGGGUAGAAUUUCAGGUGUAGCGGUGAAAUGCGUAGAGAUCUGAAGGAAUACCAGUGGCGAAGGCGGCCCCCUGGACAAAGACUGACGCUCAGAUGCGAAAGCGUGGGUAGCAAACAGGAUUAGAUACCCUGG
rnacentral:rRNA from 1 species